CCUACGGGUGGCUGCAGUGAGGAAUAUUGGUCAAUGGACGGGAGUCUGAACCAGCCAUGCCGCGUGCGGGAAGACUGCUCUAUGAGUUGUAAACUUCUUUUGUACAAGGGUAAACCUGAAUACGUGUAUUCUGCUGAAAGUACCAUACGAAUAAGGAUCGGCUAACUCCGUGCCAGCAGCCGCGGUAAUACGGAGGAUCCAAGCGUUAUCCGGAUUUAUUGGGUUUAAAGGGUGCGUAGGCGGAUUGAUAAGUUAGAGGUGAAAUUUCCGGGCUUAACUCGGGUACUGCCUCUAAUACUGUUGAUCUAGAGAGUAGAUGAGGUAGGCGGAAUGAAUUGAGUAGCGGUGAAAUGCAUAGAGAUAACACAGAACACCGAUAGCGAAGGCAGCUUACCAAUCUAUAUCUGACGUUGAGGCACGAAAGCGUGGGGAGCGAACAGGAUUAGAUACCCUAGUAGUC
rnacentral:rRNA from 1 species